CCCCCUCUACAAUGUAAUCUGUUUGAGUGGUAGAGAUGUCUUGCAAUAGAGGAAGGGGAUUUUGACGUUGCAGUGCUCAAGAGCCGGAGGGUCAAGAACUAUGCUUUGCCAAAGGACUUGGUUGAAUUUAAGUAGCUCAGCAAGUGGCACAUUGUUACUGAGCUUUUUGGUGCAGGAUAUAUAGUAACUAACCUUGUAAGAUGGUGAGUUCGUUCCCAAAAGAGUCCUAGCUAGAACAUGAGAUGAUCCUUA